ACAAAGGGAACCUCCAUUUUUUUCUUUUUUAGCAAUCUAUGUAUAGUAAGACGCUAUAUAAUAUUGGCAUGAAAGGGUCAGUUUAAGCCUCGGUAUAGUAAUUUAUUGCAUGUAUCUCAAAUGUUUUGUCUUGUAAUCAAAUUCUUGUUAAAUUAGUUAUUACAGUGGCAUGCAAGAUUGGUUUUUGUACUUUUCUUUUAGGUUUCAAAGUCUCUCAUUUUAUUGUAUACACCAAUAGAUGAAUAACGGUAUUUGAAAUUUAUUGUGAAAAUGCUUUCUUCUUUUAAAUUUUUUGGCAUACUUUUUAUACUGUGCAAGUGAUUGUAUUUCUUUAAGAAAAAUUAGUGUGAAUUCUUUAUACAUGUAUAUUUCCAUUUGUUUCAUUUGAAACAUUUAUUUAACGUAAUAAAUGACAUUUUUAUAUGUCCAAUGCUUUU
rnacentral:misc_RNA from 1 species